AUGGCAAGAUCAUGGGCCGCAGGUGAUGAGAAGAGAGAAGAGGCGGUGGCGGUGGCAAUAGACAAGGACAAGGGAAGUCAAUAUGCUCUCAAAUGGACUGUUGAGCAUUUUCUCGCCAAGGGCCAAAGUCUCACCCUUGUGCAUGUUAAACAAUCAACACCAGGCCUUCCUAUUCAAACGGUGAAAUUAGUUUCUAGCUCUGAAGUAAAUGAGGAAGGUUUAAAAUUGUGCAAAAGCCAAUUUGACGCUGAAUAUAGGGAGUUGUUUCUUCCACUUCGUACUUUCUGUAAGAAAAAACUUGUAAGAUACAACGAAGUAAUAGUUGAAGGUAUUGAUGUAGCAAAAGCACUCAUCAAUUUUAUUUCGACACAUUUAAUUGAGGUUUUGGUACUUGCGGCACCUUCAAAAAGUGGCUUUUUCAGAGCAUUUAACAAAACUACAGACAUUCCAAGCAGCGUAUCGAAAGGGGCACCGGAUUUCUGCACUGUGUAUGUCAUUGGCAAGGGAAAGGUCAGUCAUGUGCAAACAGCAACCUCUAAAUUACCCCCAGAAGCUCGUAAUAAGCAAAUACAUAACCAAGUCAGCAACGUUUCAGACUCAAAUGUUUCUCAGUCCAUGCGUAACCAGCAAUCCAGAGCAUCAGAGAGGACAAGAACACAGUACCGACACCAUAAUUCUCGGAUAGAUGAUGACACUGGAAUCAAGUCACCAUUCACCAGAGGACAAGCUUCAACAAACGAAUUAUAUGAAGUGACACCAGGCAGCAAUGUAUCAUUCACGAGUAGCGGAGGAAGCUAUACCUCUACACAGUCCUACUCAAGAACCCAGUUCAUUGAUAUUAACUCAUUAUCAUCAACUCAGAGUGGAAAAUCAUGGUCAUCCCGGAAUAUGGAAGAAGUAGAAGAUGAGAUGAUGAGAAUCAUACUAGAGCUCAAGCAAACAAUGGAAAUGUACAAUACGGCCAGUAAGGACACCCUAACAUCAAAACAGCAGCAACUUGACCGAUGGAAAUGGGAAGAAGAACAAAGACUGGAAAGUGCACGCCUAGGUCAGGAGACUGCAUUGGAAUUUGUACAGAAGGAGGAAGCAAAAUGUAGAGCAGCCAUGGAGGCAGAAAGAGCAGCUAAAAGGAUUGCUGAACUGGAAGCAGAGCAAAGGAGGAAUGCAGAAAUAAAGGGUCUCAAAGAAGCUGAAAAGAGGACGAACUCACUAGGAGGAAGGAGUUAUGAUCCACGGUACAGGAAAUACUCGAUUCAAGAGAUUGAGGCAGCAACAGACAAUUUUUCAAAAGCUCUCAAGAUUGGAGAAGGUGGAUAUGGGCCUGUGUAUGUAGGUGAGCUGGAUCACACACAAGUGGCAAUAAAAGCUCUACGUCCUGAUGCAGCUCAAGGACGGUCACAGUUCCAACAAGAGAUUGAAGUUUUGAGCUGCAUUAGACAUCCAAACAUGGUUCUCUUGCUCGGAGCCUGCCCAGAGUAUGGUUGUCUGAUCUAUGAGUACAUGGCUAAUGGGAGCUUAGAAGACCGUCUGUUUCGACGAGGUAACACACCAGUUAUGGCAGCAAAGGUUCCGAAUAGCCGCAGAAAUUGCCACGGGGCUUUUGUUCCUUCACCAAGCCAAGCCAGAACCCUUGGUACACCGUGACUUAAAGCCAGGAAACAUUUUGCUAAACCAUAACUUUGUCAGCAAGAUUAGUGAUGUAGGUCUGUCAAGGCUUGUCCCUCCAUCAGUAGCUGACUCAGUCACUCAGUAUCACAUGACAUCAGCUGCUGGGACAUUCUGUUAUAUCGACCCAGAGUAUCAACAAACUGGCUUGCUUGGAACAAAAUCUGAUAUCUACUCACUUGGGGUCAUGCUUCUACAAAUAAUAACAGCCAAACAAGCAAUGGGUUUGACUCAUCUUGUUGAGCAUGCCAUUGAGAUAGGGACCUUCGCUGAGAUGCUUGACCCCGCUGUUCCUGACUGGCCCGUCGAGGAAGCGUUGAAGUUUGCCAAGUUAGCAUUACAAUGUGCUCAAAUGGGGAGAAAAGACAGACCCGAUCUAGGGAAGGUUGUGCUACCUGAGCUUAACAGAUUGAGAGAACUUGGCGAAAAGGGUGGAGGAGCAUUCUCAAUACAGAUGUGCUCAGUUUCCACAAAGCCAGUGAGUUCCCUAGUUACGUACACUUGA